AGCGAACGCUGGCGGCAGGCUUAACACAUGCAAGUCGAACGGGCGUAGCAAUACGUCAGUGGCAGACGGGUGAGUAACACGUGGGAACGUACCCUUUGGUUCGGAACAACACAGGGAAACUUGUGCUAAUACCGGAUAAGCCCUUACGGGAAAGAUUUAUCGCCGAAGGAUCGGCCCGCGUCUGAUUAGCUUGUUGGUGAGGUAAUGGCUCACCAAGGCGACGAUCAGUAGCUGGUCUGAGAGGAUGAUCAGCCACACUGGGACUGAGACACGGCCCAGACUCCUACGGGAGGCAGCAGUGGGGAAUAUUGGACAAUGGGCGCAAGCCUGAUCCAGCCAUGCCGCGUGAGUGAUGAAGGCCCUAGGGUUGUAAAGCUCUUUUGGCGGGGAAGAUAAUGACGGUACCGCAGAAUAAGCCCCGGCUAACUUCGUGCCAGCAGCCGCGGUAAU
rnacentral:rRNA from 1 species